rnacentral:rRNA from 1 species
CCUACGGGAGGCUGCAGUGGGGAAUAUUGGACAAUGGGGGGAACCCUGAUCCAGCCAUGCCGCGUGUGUGAAGAAGGCCCUCGGGUUGUAAAGCACUUUCAGUGAGGAAGAACGCCUGGUGGUUAAUACCCAUCAGGAAAGACAUCACUCACAGAAGAAGCACCGGCUAACUCCGUGCCAGCAGCCGCGGUAAUACGGAGGGUGCGAGCGUUAAUCGGAAUUACUGGGCGUAAAGCGCGCGUAGGUGGCUUGAUAAGCCGGUUGUGAAAGCCCCGGGCUCGACCUGGGAACGGCAUCCGGAACUGUCAAGCUAGAGUGAAGGAGAGGAAGGUAGAAUUCCCGGUGUAGCGGUGAAAUGCGUAGAGAUCGGGAGGAAUACCAGUGGCGAAGGCGGCCUUCUGGACUGACACUGACACUGAGGUGCGAAAGCGUGGGUAGCAAACAGGAUUAGAUACCCUGGUAGUC